GGGGCUGUAGCUCAGUUGGGAGAGCGGCGGCUUUGCAAGCCGCAGGUCGUCGGUUCGAUCCCGAUCAGCUCCACCA
rnacentral:tRNA from 2 species